GCCGGAGUGGCGGAAUUGGUAGACGCAACGGACUUAAAAUCCGUCGGAUUAUAUCCGUGUCAGUUCGAGUCUGACCUUCGGCACCA
rnacentral:tRNA from 1 species